rnacentral:rRNA from 1 species
UACGUAGGGGCUAGCGUUGUCCGGAAUCAUUGGGCGUAAAGCGCGCGUAGGCGGCCCGGUAAGUCCGCUGUAAAAGUCCAGGGCUCAACCCUGGAAAGCCGGUGGAUACUGUCGGGCUCGAGUCCGGAAGAGGCGAGUGGAAUUCCUGGUGUAGCGGUGGAAUGCGCAGAUAUCAGGAGGAACACCAAUGGCGAAGGCAGCACUCUGGGACGUGACUGACGCUGAGACGCGAAAGCGUGGGGAGCGAACAGG